rnacentral:rRNA from 1 species
UACGGAGGGUGCAAGCGUUAUCCGGCAUCACUGGGUUUAAAGGGUGCGUCGGCGGCUUGGUAAGUCAGAGGUGAAAGCCCGCAGCUUAACUGCGGAACUGCCUUUGAUACUGCCGAGCUUGAAAGAGGUUGAGGUCAGCGGAACGUGACAUGUAGCGGUGAAAUGCAUAGAUAUGUCACAGAACACCAAUUGCGAAGGCAGCUGGCUGGGCCUACUUUGACGCUGAGGCACGAGAGCGUGGGGAGCGAACAGG